rnacentral:rRNA from 1 species
UACGGAGGGUGCGAGCGUUGUCCGGAAUCAUUGGGCGUAAAGGGCGCGUAGGCGGCACUGUUAGUCAGGCGUGAAAGUCCUGGGCUCAACCUGGGAACUGCGCUUGAUACGGCAGAGCUAGAGGAUGGAAGAGGGUCGCGGAAUUCCCAGUGUAGAGGUGAAAUUCGUAGAUAUUGGGAAGAACACCGGUGGCGAAGGCGGCGACCUGGUCCAUUACUGACGCUGAGGCGCGAAAGCGUGGGGAGCAAACAGG